GCACUCGGAUCUUCAGCUCCCGCGGCAGACGGCGCCAGUCUGGGCAGAGUGGAAAUCUCCCUUAGCCCAAUGCCACGGUGAUACUGAGAGAGAGCAGUGGAGAGCGUCCUUGAGAGCAAGGAACCCGGAUUUCACUCUUGCCUUUGCUCACGGGGAAGGGGACUAACUCUGGAAGUCUGUCACCUCGCUGAGCUUCAGGAGGAAAACACCAGUUGGCAAUGAACUGAAAAACUGCAUCCCAUGCCAGGAGGUAACAGAAGUUUGUCCGGCUCUUAGGGGAAUCAUACUAACAGAUUCGGAAGAAGUGGAUGCCACAGCAGUAGUCAGAGGAACAUUAUUUUUUAUAUUUUGUGUCUGGUGGCCUCCAGUCUCUGAAUUAUCUCAGAAUUCCAGUGUGCCAUGUGCCCUGUGUGGCAGGUCAGGUCUGGCGCACAGGCGCGCCUUAGAGCACCCAGCUCGAAGAAUGGGCAUCUGCCGGCGCUCCACCAAGACCUGGGAUGGUCCCAGUCUGGGUCUCGCAGGAGGCUCCUCAGGAACCCUUAGGUUUGUUGGGGCUCAGGGGAGAUCCGCUUAGCAAGGGAAGUCAGGAUUGGAGCCUCUAGGUUUUGAGGGUUUGUG